GAAAAUUACGUAUUAUUAUUUUAUGUUUUUUUCAAAACCUAUCUCCUGCUCCGCCUCCUCCUCGUCAGCUCCACACACCCACUUUCAAACCUGGAGCGGGCGGCACAGAGUAGCCUACUCCGGGACUCGGGAGAAAGAGGAGACGUGAUAUAUGGACACUUUUUCACUUCAUUGAAGUGGAGAACAAAACCAAAUGCUUGAUUUUAGUCGAAGGGAAGGAAUGUGGCCACAUGGUAGCUGGAAAAAACACAACCUGAAGAGACACGUCGCAGUUCAACACAAAGACAUUACGAUUGAAGAUACACCGACCAACAACAACCACCCAGAA